rnacentral:rRNA from 1 species
AACGAACGCUGGCGGCAGGCCUAACACAUGCAAGUCGAACGCCGUAGCAAUACGGAGUGGCAGACGGGUGAGUAACACGUGGGAACGUACCCUUCGGUUCGGAAUAACUCAGGGAAACUUGAGCUAAUACCGGAUACGUCCGAGAGGAGAAAGAUUUAUCGCCGAGGGAUCGGCCCGCGUCUGAUUAGCUUGUUGGUGAGGUAACGGCUCACCAAGGCGACGAUCAGUAGCUGGCUGAGAGGAUGAUCAGCCACAUUGGGACUGAGACACGGCCCAAACUCCUACGGGAGGCAGCAGUGGGGAAUAUUGGACAAUGGGCGCAAGCCUGAUCCAGCCAUGCCGCGUGAGUGAUGAAGGCCCUAGGGUUGUAAAGCUCUUUUACCCGGGAAGAUAAUGACUGUACCGGGAGAAUAAGCCCCGGCUAACUUCGUGCCAGCAGCCGCAGU